UACAGAGGGUGCAAACGUUGCUCGGAAUCAUUGGGCGUAAAGCGCACGUAGGCGGUCCAGCAAGUCGGGUGUGAAAGCCCAGGGCUCAACCCUGGAAGUGCAUUCGAAACUGCUGGACUUGAGUACCGGAGAGGGUGGCGGAAUUCCCGGUGUAGAGGUGAAAUUCGUAGCUAUCGGGAGGAACACCAGUGGCGAAGGCGGCCACCUGGACGGGUACUGACGCUGAGGUGCGAAAGCGUGGGGAGCAAACAGG
rnacentral:rRNA from 1 species